rnacentral:rRNA from 1 species
UACGGGGGGGGGCAAGCGUUGUUCGGAAUUACUGGGCGUAAAGCGCACGUAGGCGGAAUGUUAAGUCAGGGGUGAAAUCCCGGGGCUCAACCCCGGAACUGCCUUUGAUACUGGCAUUCUCGAGUCUGGAAGAGGUGAGUGGAAUUCCGAGUGUAGAGGUGAAAUUCGUAGAUAUUCGGAGGAACACCAGUGGCGAAGGCGGCUCACUGGUCCGGUACUGACGCUGAGGUGCGAAAGCGUGGGGAGCAAACAGG